CUCCUGAGUAUUUCGUGCACACUUAAUACAGUCAUUGAGAUACAUAAGGCAACCAUGUGCCUUAAUCUAUGUGAAGUCUUGAUUCAUAUGUGGUUAUUUGGGUAAAGGCUAUAACUGCAGUUUUGUAUCCUCAGCUCUAUUUCCAAAAUUUCCCUUGGGCCACUUAAAAAUAACCUCUUCUUGUUCCUUUUUAUCUCGAAACUUUUUAUUGGAAGACCUCAGGCCUAACUUCAGCAUCAGAGAUCAAAAUUCCUAUCUCACUUAAUUCAACAAUCCCUAGUCAUUGUUGAUACUCAGAGAAAUAGAGACAGUGCUAUAUUUCACCCCCAAAGUGAAGAAGAUUAUGAAUUCUGUGAUUUCUACAUAGUACUGUGAAGUUUUUAAUAAGAUAUUGUAGGGCCUAUAGGAACACAUUUACCUGCUAAAUUGUUUUUGUAACCAAACUCAAAUGAUUCUAGAAAAAGUCAGACAUGACUUCCUCACAAGGAAAAUUGAGCAUCUUUACCUUUGCAGUUGUCCUAUGGUACUUGUUAAUCUGUUCACAAUUCUCUUAUCUUGUAAAGGGCAAGUCUUAAUUAAUUCCUUGUUGUUCCUUGCAAUAAGAAUAAAUUAAAAGGGGGCUCUUUGGGUAUUAGACAGGAUCACCUAUGCACUUGCGUAUUCAUUGCAUUGUAAUUAAGCAUUAAUGAGUACUAUUCUGUUUAUAGUCCCAAAUUUUCUCUUGAAAUCAUGUGGUAGGAGGGCAAGGAGAAGUCAGGCAGGUUUAUUUAUACCUAUAUGGUGUUAGUUAUCUCAAUAAACUUAGUAAGGUCUUUUCCAGAUGUCACAGAUUAAGAAAUUAAAGUAUAGAACAGUUAUUGAAGUGGUGUAAGUGCACAGCUGAUUAAUGAUAAAGGCAUGAUUCCACUUUAGCUCUUCAUAAACCACCUGUGUUUUUCCACAGCAAGCUGCCCCAUUGUUUCAUGUAAGCCUUGCAAUGCCCAUCCCAUGUGGGGCAGACUCACCAGGUACAACAAAUGGGCUCUUCUCACAUGUACAUAUCUCAUGUUUAUAGAAUAUUUUACUCUUUACACAAGAUUUUUGUUUAUAUUACCUAUUCAGAUCUGAGCAACAACUCUUUGUGGUAUAUUCUCAUUUAACAGAGGCAUUCCUUUUGAUUGAAAAGAAUUAGUCAUUUAUCUGGUCAUUUCUGGGAAGGAUUUCUUCCCUUAUGCGUGUGUGUUUGUGUGUAUCAUUCAGGUAGGCAUUGUGAGUGAUACAAAGCAACAACAACAACAACAGCAUUUAACAGUGAGUUUUUAUUGUUAAUUAUCUUAUCUGUAUUAUUUCACUUAUUCCUCAUAGUAAUCCCAUGUUUUGCUGAUACAGUAACUGUGACUCAGAGAGAUCAAGUAACUCACCUGUUGUCUCCAAGUUAGUAAGUGGUUGAUUCAAGAUUCAGACUCAGGCAGUCAAACUCCAGAGCCCAUACUCUUAACCACUAUAGAAAAUUACAAAAUUACAAAACAUGGCUCUGCCUUGUGACAUGAGAAUCUAGGUGGCCAGACAACACCAAUACAGAAAAAAAGAUGGACAUAGUUCUUGAAGAAUGAUCUGGACUUGAUGUGUGUAGGAGCAAAGAAAGUGUAUUCUAGCUGUGGGGAAUAAAAUGACAAAUCCAGAGACAUGGGAAUGGUAUAGAUGGUAUAGACAACCCAUUUUAUUUUAUUUUCAUUCUGCAUAGAGUUAUAUCUGAUAUGAUUAUACUGACAAAGAGAGGACUUCAUUUUCUUGGAGUGUUCAGUUGGUAGAAAUGAAUUGUGGGGAAGGUGACAACCAUAGGGUUUGAAAGGCUUUGGAGGACAAGCAUUGAAGACCUCAGAGAAGAGAGUAUAUAUUGUAAACUGGAUGGAUGGCAUAACCAUCAGCCCUGGUAAACUGAGGCUGCUGUCUAAUCUUAGAAGGAGAAUGAAAUUCAGAACAGCAAAGCAGGAACCGUCUCCUUGGACAAAGCCUCAAGAAAGAAAAGCCUGUCUGAACCCAGAUUGCUCAUCUGGACACCAGGAAGUCGGGCAGAAGAAGGGCUCUUGUAGAGGAAAGAGAAGAUGUGCCUCUAGCCCUUAAGAACUCUGGAGGAGGUUUCCUCCCAACACACUUAAAUGAACACCAGUGAGCACCAGCAACUGCCCAGACUAGGGGAGCAGAUAACUGAGCAAUUAACCUUUGGUGAGGGGUGUAAAACUCCAAUUAAGAGCAGAAUCUCUUCCAUUAUGUGGGAAGGGGAACUGUGGAAAAAUGUAUGAGGGGGGUGAGGAAGUGAAAACUAGGCAAAGAAGGAACAGUGUGUUAGCAAGCCAGAUUUAAAAUCUGUCCAAAUGGGUGUAUGAGGGUGGGAGCAGCAAACAGGGGCACUGACUAAUUGUCCUGAUUGCCAGUUACAGUUUCUUCUCCCUUCCCAGUUCCCCACACUGACUGUGGUACUCAGCAACCAGCAGCGGAGGGAUGGGGGAAGAGAAGUUAGAUGUUUAUCCUCUUCUUUGUUGUAAUUUCCUUCUUAUUUGCUGAACAUCUUUGGUAAUUUCUCUAUAAAUUUGCUCAGAGUAGCAAUUUAGUAGCUUUUCUGUUGACAAAUGAAGAACAUCUUAAUAGUCAAGUGACUGCAUUCCAUCGCUUUGCAAGAGUAGAAGUGGCAUCUUGCAGGUUGCAAAGAUUGACACUGGGAAGUGGGAGAUCUUAGGAAAGUCUCAAUUCCACAGAACCUAUUUACUUUUGCUCCAUUUUAGAUAGGAGGAAAUAAGCUUCUAUGCCUUGUGAACUUGGUUUCUUGUGAAGAUUUACUCUGAAUCUUCCUUCUUUUAUCACUUGGUUAAUGAAUGCCUUUCAAACAGAAUCAAGAGGGAAGCUCCUCAAAACUUGCCCGGAAGUCUUCAGAAGCAAAGACAUAUAUUAUUUUGUGUCAGAUGUUUCCCACUGUCCAUCUUCAGGAGACAGGAAGCAGUGACAUUCCUUUUGAUAGGACCAGAGAUGAGUGCAGAGAGGAAGGCACCUUUGCUAUCCACGUGUCACCAUGCUUUAUCAUAUGAAGUACAGAAGUUACUGUCUUAAAAGUAAAACAUGAGAAUCUUAAAAUCCUUCUCACAUCCUGCUCAGAAAUUUCCCUGCACUGCAUUAGCAGAUGAAAACCUCACAUAUAUAUUUUAUGGUAAUGCACUACAGUUUUACAAGUGUUUCUGUAAAUAUCACUUCAUGUGAUUCUCAUAAAAUCCUUGGGAGAUCAGCAGCUUAAAAAUUGGCAAGACAUGGUAUAGGUAUAGGGGGACAAGCUAGGGCUCAGAGAGGCCAUGGGCCUUCCAAAGUCCAAAAGCUCAAGUCCAAUCUGCAUUCAUCUACAGUCAGGUAUCACCAUUCCGUAGAUAUUUGUUGACAUCAAUACUUUGGGUAGGAAAAGGGGAGGGGGAGCUUUUAAAAAAUCUUAGAACCAUGGCUAGUGGAAAGGGAAGAAAAAGUAGGUCUAAGGCAGCACUAGCUUUCUUCAAAUUUUUAUUUAUUUGGGGAAGAGAGUGGCUUAGGGCAUGGGUGAUUAGUUAUUUCUGGAAUCCCUCUUCCAGAAGAAAUCAGGUGCCCUACGAUGAUAUAUCAUUGUUUUGUUGUCAUUGUUAGCAGUGUUCUCACAGGAGACACAGAGAAGCAAACCAAGCAUUGGCCAUUCUAAAUCUUUGCAUGUAUUUGAAAUAACUAUUGUACCUACACCACAAACCAUGGGUUCAGGUGUCUUCAAGGAGAUUCCUGAUGAUCAUUCCUUAAUUUUCUUCCUGGGACCUAUUGCCUGGUAGUGGAGAUCAGUUUCAAUAUUAAUCAAGGUUAGAUCCAAUUCUUAAAAUGGAAUGAAGAAUGAAAAUUUCUUGUUUUUUGCCCUAGUGCUUGCCAACAGCCUCCUGUACCCAAUCCUCUUCCCUGCCACCUCUAUCAGAAGUAUUACAGUGUGGUGUGUUGGGAGGUGCAGAGAGAGAGGUUUGGCAGAGGCACUCAGCACUUCUCUUAAGCCUGUUUUCACAAUGAGUAAGUAAGGGUGAGAUAAGAUCUGACUGUCACCCCCAAUUAAUGCCUGGACAUGUUCCCACACAGAGUGACAUCCAGAGAAAGAGGCAGGAGCUUCUUGCAUCUAACCAAAGCUACCACUUCGCACUCCCACUUUAUAGUACAAUUUUCCACCUUCCAUGCGCGUUGCUAUCUGACCUGGCUACCGCAGAGAUACAGCCACCUCCCAGGAGAUCCACCACACAAGCUAAAAAUAAAGGCUGCUGUUUCUCUGCAGAUGCCAUUAACCCAAUUAGAGCAAAAAAGAAUUAAAAGAACUUAUAGCCUCAUUAAAUACAAGCAGCAUAAACUUCAAGAAGGCAAACUAAAUUUGUUAUGCAAUUUAAAAUUUUACUAAAAAAUCAAAAUCAUUUGAAACCCCCAGUCCCUUAACUGAAGGCAGACACCACAUGGUGGUGACUAUGCAAGCCAGUAAAUCAACAGAAGUUCAAGUUUCCAGUGCAGUAACACAGGUGAUGAGUGAUGCUUCAUGCAAAUUAAAAAAAAAAAAA
rnacentral:lncRNA from 1 species